UACAUGGGGUGCAAACGUUGCUCGGAAUUAUUGGGCGUAAAGCGCACGUAGGCGGUCCGUUAAGUCGGAUGUGAAAGCCCCCGGCUCAACCGGGGAAGUGCAUCCGAAACUGGCAGGCUAGAGUACGAAAGAGGGUCGCGGAAUUCCCGGUGUAGAGGUGAAAUUCGUAGAUAUCGGGAGGAACACCGGUGGCGAAGGCGGCGACCUGGGUCGAUACUGACGCUGAGGUGCGAAAGCGUGGGUAGCAAACAGG
rnacentral:rRNA from 1 species